rnacentral:lncRNA from 1 species
ACUUCUGCUCUUGCACCUGGAGCACCUCCUGCUAUUCUUUCUUUCCUGAUCUUGGUAUCUGCAGGGCUGUUUCACUCUACAUUUUCUCAACCCUAUCUCCCAGCUGCUGUUGCAAAGCAGAUUUUUCCUUUCUUAACAAUGGUCUCCCAAAGGCUCAACCAGUGUCACUCAUUGGUUCAGCUUUGUCCAGAAGCAAGUCUUUUUUGAAACAGACUGGACUCAUCUAUCUUAUCUAUCUAUCUCCUAGACUCUUUUCAUAGAGGAAACCCCUGCAGACCCCCUGCUACUAAAACCUUGUCACAGAAACCCAAUAUAAAAAGUUUGCUACAGUUUUUGUUUGUUUGUUUGUUUGUUUGUUUUUGUUUUGUUUUUACAAAAGCUAUUUUGUAGCUUUAAUUGUUUUGCCAAAAUUUAAAAUAUGGAAUGUCUUUACAGAAAUCAGGAUAGAUUUCUGCAAGGACUGCAAUCAAAUCAACACACACCAGUACCCCACAAGAGCCAAGAGUGACUCUAGGAAUAAAGUGGAACCAAAAUCAAGGAAGAGAAUGAUGAUGAGAGAGUGGGGCCCUUCUCUUUGGACAGUGUCAAGCUCUGCAAACUAACUUCAUCUUGUGAAGAUAGACCACAACAACUGCAAACUACAAGACCAAACUACAGCUAAAAGACCAUGGAUGCAAUAGAAGUACUUAAACCAUAUGAGCAAGCGUUUAUUUUAUACACUGUAUCAGUAGCAUAAUGGGAGAAAUGUCAGGUAGAAUUUAGAAAUACAUAACUGUAGAGUCCUCUAAAGAAACUUAAUAGUAUUUUGACUUAAGUUCCACAGUGUUCUCAUGAGCCUAGUAAGAACACUUAAAACUUUGAAAAAUUUACAGUUUGACAGAUUUGAAUUGGUAAAAGUGAUUUUGAAUUUCAGUUUGAAUUUACAUUUCUUCCUAUUUUAUGCAUACAGAUGAUUUUGCAUAUAUACUUAAAAAAGAAAAAAAGGAGAAAAAAAGAGAUUAAAAACAAAUUCUGCUUGAAGAGUGAGAAAGAUACGGUCUUCCUGCAAGGGUUGCAGCUGUCAUUUUCUGUCAAAAAAUGCUUUUAUAAAUAUUCAUGAAUUUUCCACUUAUUUUAUGCCAAUGCAAAUAUCUUGAACUUUUAAAAGUCAUACUUUAUCCCCAUCAAAAUUUUUAUAAUUCAAUAUGAUUAUAAUAAUAAAUCCAUAGUUAUUUUAGCUGGAUGUAAAGAU